AUUGUAGAUAUUGUACAGUGAUAUUUUCAUAAUUCUAGAGAAAACGACAUAAUUUUUUUUUCUUGGAAUGAGCUAUAUGGUUUGUCAACCACCAAACUUUUUUUUUGCUGGAAACAGACAAUGGCAUCCAAACUUAUGUCUACCCAGGAUGGGAUGGAAGGUGAAAGAGAGGAAGUUUAAAAGGCUUGAAAAAAAAGAAGUCUGGAAAGAGAUAGGGGAGGGUUAUAGAGAUAGAAGAGAAGGUUGAGGGAGGCGGAGAUUUAGAGAGACAUUGAAACGAGUUUUUGUCUUCUUAAACUUGCAAGGGAAGGAGAAAGAUCGGGAGAGAGCAAGAAAAAAAAAUAUGAAUGUGUGAAGAUCUAUUGUGGUGAAAUGCAUAUUAUAUUGAUCAAGCACUUUCUUUUUGAGUCUCUUUUGUUUGGGAUUCUCUGGACACUAACCUGGAAACUAAUUCUACACGUGAAAGUUAAGAUUCUCAAGAUGAAAUUAUGGUAAACCAUGAGCUGAUGAGAGAAGAUGAAGCUCAGAGAUAUUGCCACCAGCUUAUCAAUAUAGUGGAUCAUUGCCACAGCAAGGGUGUUUCUCACAGAGACCUCAAGGUACUCAGAACUUUAAUCACCCUAUAACUUAUAAAAUACUAUAUAUUUUGUUCAUCGUGACCUUCAUUAUUCUUUUUUUUUUUUUAAUUGGGUGUUCCAGCCAUAAAAUUUGUUGUUGAAUACUUUUGGGAACCUUAGAAUUUUAGAUUUUGGAUUAAUUUCAUUGUCCCAACAAGUUAGGGCAUCAAAUCCUCAUCUAUAAAGCCACGAGAAAGAAGGGACCGAGAGAGAAAGCCAUUGAAACUUCUCCAUCCACUGGUGGAAGUAGGUGAUUUGGGACUUGUCAGGUUUCUCUAAGUGUAUGGAUUUUACUGCAGAUGGUUUAGAGUUUCAAUAUAUUCAAAAAUAAGUCUUGUAGUUUGAUUUGGUUUUUCACAUCUUAAAAGUGAAUUGAAAUACCUUUUUAUUUAAUCUAUUGUUCUCGAAGGUCUCUAUCAUGGCAGGGGCAUUGCUCGAUUCUGUUA